rnacentral:rRNA from 1 species
GACGAACGCUGGCGGCGUGCUUAACACAUGCAAGUGGUGCGACGAACCAGGCUUCGGCCUAGGGCCAAGCCGCGAACGGGUGAGUAACACGUGGGUAACUUGCCCCGAUGACUGGGACAACCCGAGGAAACUCGGGCUAAUACCGGAUGUAGUCUGAUUCCAUCAGGAGUGAGACCAAAGGAAGCUUCGGCCUCCGCAUUGGGAUGGGCCCGCGGCCCAUUAGCUUGUUGGUGAGGUAACGGCUCACCAAGGCGACGAUGGGUAGCUGGUCUGAGAGGACGAUCAGCCACAUUGGGACUGAGACACGGCCCAGACUCCUACGGGAGGCAGCAGUGGGGAAUCUUGCGCAAUGAGCGAAAGCUUGACGCAGCAACGCCGCGUGGGGGAAGAAUGCCUUCGGGUUGUAAACCCCUUUCAGGAGGAACGAAGGAUCGGCCGUUAAUAGCGGUCCGGUUUGACGGUACCUUCAGAAGAAGCCCCGGCUAACUACGUGCCAGCAGCCGCCUAA